rnacentral:tRNA from 1 species
GGUUCCUUGGUCAAGCGGUUAAGACGCCGCCCUCUCACGGCGGAAACAGGGGUUCGAUUCCCCUAGGGACUG